CAUGCUCCAUCAUAAGUGACUACACAUAGUUCCCAGUGCUACACAUAGUUCCCAGUGCUACACAGCCAGAUCUCAUUGCCUAUCCACUCCAAAGGCAAUACCACUUGGUAUUUCAACCUUUCCGAAGACUCUAACUUUUGAUGAGCUUGGACCACUUGGUAUUUCUCACUUUGUAAGAAUGACCUAUCAGAACCCAUGAGUAUGAUAUUGGCAAAUGCCACCCAGUCAAAGUGGCUUUGUGCUUUAAUACUUCAGCAUCAGAACUGUCUUUUCAGAUCUUCACAUCUUUUAAGAUGACUACUUUUUAAAAACCUAAAAUUUAUGCAAUUUUAAUCGGAGGGAUGAUCCAGACAACCUUACUUGUUGCAGUGGGCUUUUCAUUGACUGCUCACUCAUCUGCUUCUGACCACCAUUUCUAUCAUUUUUUCUCAUGUUAUCAAAUUCACUUACUUUAGGUGCUAGAUUAUUUACAAAAACAAAAGAAAAGCAAAAUAGUGAUCUUUGUUGAACAACUCUGAUAUUGUUCCUUUCCUUUUGUCAGAAUUUUAUCAUGAUUUUCUUUCCUUUUUAACAGUUGAAUGACUGAUUUUUGUAGUUUAAUAACCACCUAUUUCCAUUAUAUUUCUUUUCCUUCUGUGAGAUAGGGUAUAAUUAUAUAUGGCUUAUAAGUUUCCACUGGCCACUUAUAAUUUUUGACAUUUAUAUUGUUUUGGAGUACCAAAUUGAUAUAUGUAUAUUUUAGGAAAUCCAUGCAAUAAACAGAAAAAAAAACUAUGUUAUUUAAGCACGUGGUUAUCAUUUUGGAAUUUUUUCACUUUUUUAGUAUACUUUUCAUUGCAAAGUUGUUAAGCAUAAAGUGAUGUAUUUUUCUCUUUAUAGCAUGGGUAGAUGUUGAUUUAGUUAUGUUAUCUCAGCUGGAUGAUUGCUGACAUUCAUUAAUGAAUAUGUAAUAUUGUAUUACCUGGUAGACUCAGGGUAAAAGUUUAUGGUUUGAAAAUAGUUUAUCUGAGUUUGACUUCUAAAUCACUAUUUAUAACAAGGCAAUUUCCUCAAACUCUUAUAAUUCAUGUAUUAAAUAAGUAACAGUACUUACUUAUUUAACAGUAACAGUAAUUUAUUACAUAAGAUAAUACAUAUAAAUGACCUAGACAUCUUUCCAUUACAUAUUCAGCACUCUAAUGUCUGCCACAUUUAACAUUCAAAACUUUGAACAAAUUGAGAUAUAAUGAUGCAUAGGGUUGUGUACAUAUUUUGGAUUUGGAAUGUUAUGUGCAUUAGUAUUUCCAAAAACGUUUAGGUAAAUAAUGUAGAAAAUUACCAACACAAACCAGUUGGAUGUCUUGCAUUUCUGGAAUUUUUUGACUCAUUAAAUUACAAAAGUUAGAAUCCAUAGAUUUAGAGGAGAAUGGAGUUGCAUAUAGUUAGGAGAGGGAUGUUUUCUUAACUGCAAUAUGAUUUUGACUAUGUCCCACGGUUUCUCAACAUUGGUCCAGCUGAUAAUCAGGAACUUUUUUAAAAUGUUGACCUGACCAUAAAACUAUAGAGAUAAUUAACGAACAGCAUCAUCACAAUUUACGUUUCUACUCUCCAUUAAAUUGCUUAUUUGUCUCCAUAUGUAGCUGUAGUAGCUAUCUCAGAACAUGCCAGUUGGGUGGAUUGACUAUUCCUAGACACUCUGUUCUCACAAACAGUAUCUGCUCUGUAGAACACUCAUCCCUGAAGUUUUUCAGUUGACUGAAGGAGAAGCACAGUGUGGACAAGGAGCCUUUCGCACAUUUGUAGAGCAGUAGAUGCUCACAGCUGGAAACCAUCUCAGAGCUCAUCUUUUUUUUUUUUUUUUUUUUUCAAGUGAUGAAAUAGAGCGUCCAGGAUUGUUUCUCCAUCAGGCCAAGUGACGGCACAUAACUAGUCACUCACAUCACUUGGGAGAGCCACUUGGCCCUUAUCUCGAUGAUUUCAGUUAGGUUUCAUGUGUUUCAUUGGGCUGUCUCAUGAGUGAUUCAGUGGCCUCUUUUAAUCUCCCUGGAUCUUGAAUUCUGCAUCAUCAUCACUUUUCCAUAGUACUUACCUCUUUGAAGAGCUGUUCAAGUUUUUCUAAAUUCUUCUUAGAUUUUCUACUAAUUUCCGUCAUUCAUGAAGGCAUGCAAAUAGUUGUAAUACCUCAAACUAUAAGCCCAGUGAUUUUUUUUUUAAUUUUGAUUCCAGAAAAUAUUUGGAUUAAACCCACCUUGAAUUGCCCUCUAGCUAUUAACUUUCAGUAGUUGCCUUGUAAAGGCUUGACUUUACUUUUGUGCACAGGAAGGUCACAGAUGUGAAAUUUGGCUGUGCCAAUUACAAAGACUUUGGCAGCUAGAAGGAGUUGACUAUUCAAAUUGACUUGCAUGGAAAGGGAAUAAAGGGAGUCUACUUCUCAUAAAGCAAGGAGUCUUGUGGAAGCAUGGUAUAUUAGGUGUUGAAAAAUGACACCCGAAAAUGCAGUGGAUAAGCAAAAUAGGAGAUCUGUUUCUCAAGGUGUAGGGGGACCAUAUGUUUGCCAUACACAUGGAAUUGAGUAUGGCAUAUGUAAGUUGGUCAUUACAGAUGUACUGCUUGGUUCCAGAAGUCAUCCCCUAAAGGUUAUUUCUCUAACUCCAGCAUCCCAUUAUAAUGUUAUGAUUUUUUCUGUUCAUUUCUGGCUUUUUGGGUAAGUAUGUUUAUUCUAGCCCAUGACAGACAGUAACAAGAAAAGAAAAAGUACAAAGCAAGCAAGUUGCUUUUAGAGUUAGCAUGAAAAUUAAAAACAAGCCAGUUCAGUUCACACUCUGUUUCCCAGGACUCAUUUUCAAGGUCAUACCCAGCUGUGAAAAUGGUUGGCUUAGUAAAAUUGAAGUUAAUUUUAUUACUAAAAGGAAGAGUGGUGGUGGAUGGGUCUAGGAGUGUUUGGAGUGGGGGUGGGAAGAACUAGCAGCACCAGCCACAGACAAGCUUCAUGGUGUAUGAUUCAGCAACUAAGUCAUGUCAACCUUUUUCUUCUAUUCUUUUCUACCAUCAACAAUAUAUGAAUUUUGCCUUACAUCAGUUCCCCACCCUGUUCCAAGAAAGCCCCAGAUGAUCCAAGUUCCCAGUCUAGACAUAAGAUAUUCAGGGGCAAAAAGGGCUAUUCUUUUUGUAGGAUUUUAUAUCAGGAGUGAUUUAACCUUACCCAGACAUCCACUGGCAGAGACUCUCACAGAGUUACAUGCCCAUUGAUGAAUCCAUAAAGAGAACUGGGCACCAAUAUUACUUAGAACAGUCAGGGUUUACUGCUGAGAUAGGAGUGGGUCUUGACCCCUAAGUCACAGAGGAAAGGGUUAGAUGCUUGAACAAAUCUCAAGUUGUCUUUUCAAAGAGGAAGAAGGAUGGAUAGAAGGUAACUGCUUACUGAACAUUUCUGUUGUGAGACCAAUAAAAACUACAGCUGUUCAGCUUAAUGUGGUUCCAGGAAUCUGAUGAUCACCUUUUAUCCCCCCCCCCAAACGAAUAAAGUUCAGAUAGUUUAGAGGACUUGCACAAGGUCAUAUGGGCCAGUGAAAUGUUGAACUAUAUAAUGUCAUUCUUUCAAAAACUCCAAAACAAACAAAUGUGCAUCUAAAUAAACAAAGCAACACUUUUUUUCAACAUAUGUUUAUGUUGAUAAAGCAAUAGCUGUAUAACUUUGUACACAUGAAUGAACAGCUAAAAUUCAUUGUAACAUUUUCUCAGUGGGGCCUUAAAAAUCACCACUGUCUUCUAGUUGUGAUUUUCCACUUCUGGUCUUCAGAAAAAAAGCAAGUGCUAUUUUUCUCUGUGACUUCCAUCAGGUCCAGACAUUAGAAAGUUAUGGUGAUUUAAAUCGAGCAGUGUUGCUUCCGCAAUUAUGGUGCAUCUAGUUUUGUGUAGGGAAAUUAAAGUGUAAGAGGGAAAAGAAAAUGUGUUCUGUAUGAGAAAAGUGAAGGCAUAAAGUCAGUGGUUGCUAGAGAAAAAUGAGAAAUCAGAAUAGGUCUUGUGGGCUGUAGUAUAAAAAAUAUGUUUGAAGUAGAUGGAUUUAGAUUUCCAGUUAGCCCUGUUUCAUAAGACUAGACUAUGCAUCAGAAUAGAGGUGUCACUGUGCAGUGCUCAGAAUGGAAAUAAAAAGAAGGAAAAAAACAUUAAAACAAGAGGGCAAUGGGAAAAUGGGAAAUUGCCCUCAUGAGAUGGGCCAGAGUUGAAAAGCAGCAUAUUGGAUGCCUGUUGGAUUCAUUGGCGCCUGGCUCAGAUUCCUCUCUGAGUUAGAGAUUGAGCUUCAUUCUAGAGUGAGGUAGACCUUUGUAAUUUUGACAGAGGAUGAAAGUCAGCUCAUUAGAAAAGAUGAAUUGGACAUACAUAUGCAUGAUAAAUCGAGAGGUAGAAAGAACAAACUCAGUGAAACCAGUUAAGAAACCAUUGCAGUAAUCAAGGGGCACAUUUUUAUGCUUUUCUGUUUGCUUUUUAGUAAGGGUUUAGACUACCUUGACAGAAGUAGUGGGAAAGAGAACACACUGGCAAACAGGUUUUAAAUGUGGAAGGAGCUGGCCACAGUAUAUCUCCAGAGGCCAUCAUAUGAGGUGAUGGACGGACACACUUCAGCUCAAAGACCUUGGUUAACUAGAGCUUUCAAAGUCUGUAGUCAGUCACCUUGAAGGUAGCAACUCCCAACCACUGAAAGUCAUCAUACUGGGGUUGGAAAGAAACCUGGGAAGGGAAGUGUUAACUUCUUUGUUCAACAUGGUUGGGCAAAAGGACGCAAUCAGUAAAAUCUUUUUUUUCAUCUCCGUCAUGCAAACAUUUCAUGAUUGUAUUCUGGGAAUGAGCCCUCAGAUAGAAGACCUUAAUAAAACUCAGAAAAGUGUUUAUAAGAAUGUAUAAGAAAACACCAUGCAGCUUUACUGACCUUGAGAGGGGGCAGGGGAGAAAAAGAGAGAGAGAAGAGAAACUAAGAAAGGGAGAGAGUUUUUAUAAGAUAGAUAUAAUGCAUAUAUAUAUUUUAAAUUAGUGGUUCUCAAUUGGCUGCAAUGUUAUUAUUCCCUACAAAUCAUUGGUUAAUGAUGUCUGGAGACAUUUUUUGUUUUCCCAGCUGGAGCGGCAUCUAAAAAGGAGAGGCAGUGGUGUUCCCCAAUUCCUAGACCUAAAAAAAAAAAAAAA
ensembl:lncRNA